GUGUAAGUUGGGAUCUGAAAUGCUGAAUGGAAGCCUGCCAGAAAUCAAGUUUCUCUGGCCAUUUCCAGUACUAAUAUUUUCAGCCCUGGAGGGAUAUUGAAAUUUUAACGACUUAAAUUCAGCUAACAUCAUUGAGUUGGAUAAAGAAAAAUUUCCUAGGGAGAUGCAAGCCUAGAUUUUCACAUAUCUCAAGUUGAAUAAAUGUUGUCUUUGGGCUCUGAACCACCAGCUGUAUAGGGCAGAAAGGUCGGUCCCUCACAUCACAGAGUGAAAGUUCUUUACACUGAAUAGCAACGCAGCUCCUGAGUCUCUGCUGUUUGAAUGGAACCGCCU